AAAAGGGUGUCUCUUUCCCCACAGAUGUAACCAGGUUCCUGUGGAGGACACGGCUUUGCUAAGCCUGCCUGGCUUCUGUGUCCUCCUCUGGGCCUGAGUGCAGAGGGUGAGAGUCCACAUCCCCAGAACCAUGGGGACUGAACAGGAUUACUACAGAGCAGCAAAGAAGUGGGGCACCAAAGGAAAGAGUACACAACACCUUGUGAACACAGAAUUCUGGUGGACCCAGAAUAUGUGGGAGUUCAGUGAGACUUAAAGAGGAAAAGUGUCUUCCACCAGAUUUGCAAGGCAGGAGAGAGGUAAUUUCACAAGGGGACUGUGGCAUCCAAAGCACAGCAACUUGAGUUGAGCCACUUCAAUAUUCUCCCAUAAAUUCCCUGGGACAACUUUAAAAAGAGUCGACUUUACAUCUUCUGUCUACAAUCAUCUAUUUUCACAUCAAGAUGAACAACAUUAUCCUCAUCUGCGGGAGGAUCUGAGACUAGCGCCUCGACACGAGGCUUUCUACUUAAUGUUGUAAUGACAGGUGUAAGAUUAACUUUGUUAGGUGUCUAGCCACUCAUGCAAACUAAAUUAAAUUAAUGGAACAAAUUUCUCUCAUAAUUAAGAUAAAAAUUCAUGUCAGCUGUAACCUUGCUGUACACUAAUUAUAUACAAAUGAUUUAUCAUCUGCUUCGCCCAGAAUAUUAAUCCUUACCUCAUUGAUAACUGCAGCCAGUGUUAAGAGAUGAGAGUUGAUUAACUAUGACAGAUUGGGC
rnacentral:lncRNA from 10 species